rnacentral:rRNA from 1 species
UACAUGGGGUGCAAACGUUGCUCGGAAUUAUUGGGCGUAAAGCGCGCGUAGGCGGUUACUUAAGUCGGAUGUGAAAGCCCUCGGCUUAACUGAGGAAGUGCACCCGAAACUGAGUAGCUAGAGUACGAAAGAGGGUCGCGGAAUUCCCGGUGUAGAGGUGAAAUUCGUAGAUAUUCGCAAGAACACCAGUGGCGAAGGCGGCUCACUGGCCCGAUACUGACGCUGAGGCACGAAAGCGUGGGGAGCAAACAGG